UCUCACAGCUGUUCUCACAGAGCCCUUGUCCCUGGUACACAGCUGUGCCAUAUCAGAGCAUAGCUUGAAUGCUGGCAGCUGAAGUCUAGGGGGUGGGUGGAUGACACUGAUAAAGAUUUUAUAGGAGAGGAAGGUUGCAGGCUGCUCAAGGUAUUUGCAACCUAUUUGUUUUCUUAAAGUUUUGAUCCUGAAAUUAUAUUUACUAUUUUGAGUUGGGGUAGUGAGGCAUUCUGGGUUUUAGAUGUUCUAGCUAUGCAGACAACCUUUCUGAAAAGCAUAUGUUUCUUUUGGUGGCAAGGCUGUUGAAAAUUGUUUCCUUGCCAGCAUGAAUCCUGCAGAUUCCAGGAUAGUCUUUCUCUUGAACAUUCUACGUGAAGUAGGAUGGAAUAUUUAAUAGGACAAAGGGUGCAUCUCCUAAGAUAAAGACUCAGACUUCCCUUUGGACCAGAUGUUGGUUAAGUGCUCACCUGUCACAUAACAGCUAGCAUGUACUACAGUGGAUAGCAUUAACAGAG